GACGAACGCUGGCGGCGUGCUUAACACAUGCAAGUCGAACGGUAAGGCUCCAGCUUGCUGGGGUACACGAGUGGCGAACGGGUGAGUAACACGUGGGUGACCUGCCCUGCACUUCGGGAUAAGCCUGGGAAACUGGGUCUAAUACCGGAUAGGACUGCACCGUGAGGGUGGGGUGGAAAGUUUUUUCGGUGUGGAUGGGCCCGCGGCCUAUCAGCUUACUGGUGGGGUAAUGGCCUACCAAGGCGGCGACGGGUAGCCGGCCUGAGAGGGUGGACGGCCGCAUUGGGACUGAGACACGGCCCAGACUCCUACGGGAGGCAGCAGUGGGGAAUAUUGCACAAUGGGCGGAAGCCUGAUGCAGCGACGCCGCGUGGGGGAUGACGGCCUUCGGGUUGUAAACUCCUUUCACCAUCGACGAAGGGUUUCUGACGGUAGAUGGAGAAGAAGCACCGGCUAACUACGUGCCAGCAGCCGCAGUAA
rnacentral:rRNA from 1 species